rnacentral:misc_RNA from 1 species
UCAAACUUGGUCAUUUAGAGGAAGUAAAAGUCGUAACAAGGUCUCCGUUGGUGAACCAGCGGAGGGAUCAUUACCGAAGUUACCUUCUAAACCCACUGUGAACCUUACCUCUGACGCGUUGCUUCGGCGGACGUCGUCGGGAGUGGGGCCGCCCAGCGGUCCCGCGCCCCGCCGCCGCCGCCGGCAGCGCCAAACUCUCAGUCUGCUCAGCGUACCACGAAAUCUGAUUCAGAAGCAAACAAAACAAGUUAAAACUUUCAACAACGGAUCUCUUGGUUCUGGCAUCGAUGAAGAACGCAGC